AAAUGAAUAGACGGGGGCCCGCACAAGCGGUGGAGCAUGUGGUUUAAUUCGAUGAUACGCGAGGAACCUUACCUGGGCUCAAAUGUAUGUUGACGUAGUGUGAAAGCAUUAUUUCUUCGGACAAUAUACAAGGUGCUGCAUGGUUGUCGUCAGCUCGUGCCGUGAGGUGUCGGGUUAAGUCCCAUAACGAGCGCAACCCCUAUCAUUAGUUGCCAUCAGGUCAAGCUGGGGACUCUAAUGAAACUGCCUACGCAAGUAGUGAGGAAGGUGGGGAUGACGUCAAAUCAGCACGGCCCUUACGUCCAGGGCUACACACGUGCUACAAUGGCCAGUACAAAGGGCAGCUACCUGGUGACAGGAUGCUAAUCUCUAAAGCUGGUCUCAGUUCGGAUCGAAGUCUGCAACUCGACUUCGUGAAGCUGGAAUCGCUAGUAAUCGUAUAUCAGCAAUGAUACGGUGAAUACGUUCCCGGGCCUUGUACACACCGCCCGU
rnacentral:rRNA from 1 species